rnacentral:rRNA from 1 species
UACGAAGGUGGCAAGCGUUGUUCGGAUUUACUGGGCGUAAAGAGCGCGCAGGCGGUCGUUCAAGUCGCGUGUGAAAGCCCCCGGCUCAACUGGGGAGGGUCACGCGAUACUGAUCGACUCGAAGGCAGGAGAGGGUAGUGGAAUUCCCGGUGUAGUGGUGAAAUGCGUAGAUAUCGGGAGGAACACCAGUGGCGAAGGCGACUACCUGGCCUGUUUCUUGACGCUGAGGCGCGAAAGCUAGGGGAGCAAACGGG